rnacentral:rRNA from 1 species
AAACCAACCGGGAUUGCCUCAGUAACGGCGAGUGAAGCGGCAACAGCUCAAAUUUGAAAGCCCGCGGGCGUUGUAAUUUGCAGGCGGAUGUUUUGGGGCGGGCGCUGUCUACGUUCCUUGGAACAGGACGCCGCAGAGGGUGAGAGCCCCGUGCGAUGGCGCCUCUAACCGCGUAAAACUCCGCCGACGAGUCGAGUUGUUUGGGAAUGUAGCUCCGAAGUGGGUGGUAAAUUCCAUCUAAAGCUAAAUACUGGCGAGAGACCGAUAGCGAACAAGUACGAGUGAUGGAAAGAUGAAAAGCACUUUGAAAAGAGAGUGAAACAGCACGUGAAAUUGUUGAAAGGGAAGGGUAUGCGAUUAGCGGCCAGCAGGAGGUGCCUUCUCGUGAAAAGGCCGUGCACCGUCUUCGGACACCGUGCGCGGAGAUGGCGAGGGGGCGCCUGAGGUCUGCGAACUCGAGGUUGCUGGCGUAAUGAUUGCAUACCACCCGC